UUUGGGUAAAUUUAUUAGUAAAGUGUGAUAUGUAUCCAGCUUGUAUUACUUAUAUAAAACCUAUAUAGAUAUAAGUUGAAAAAACUGAAUUCUGUUUUCAAAAUAAAAUUGUCAAAAAAUAUUAAUGCUUCUACUGAAAAAUGAAAUAGAAUUUGCCAGGUGUGUGAAGGUUACACAUUGAAUGAUAGCAUUUAAUUUAAGGAUGGUGGAAAAAAACAUUUUUAACUUAUCAAUCCUUUUCCGGAAAUCAAAGUUUCAUGUGCCUAAACGUAGUUUUGCACAGACAGGGCUAACUAUAUCCGGGCCUCCGAGGGUCCGUUGUUCUCAUGGAGAAAAGCUAGCUCACAUGGCGUUUAUCACGGCGUUUUGGCUCUCGCCAGUUCUAUACUUCCUGACUCAGUUAAAAGUGUGGCGUCGUGAGUACAUUCAAGGAAAUGCUGGAUAAAAAUUGAGUUAUUAUAAAUGGAGAGAAUUAUUUUAAUAAAUUAUUCGCUAUAGA